rnacentral:rRNA from 1 species
CGGCACGGGUGAGUAACACGUAUCCAACCUGCCGUCUACUCUUGGACAGCCUUCUGAAAGGAAGAUUAAUACAAGAUGGCAUCAUGAGUCCGCAUGUUCACAUGAUUAAAGGUAUUCCGGUAGACGAUGGGGAUGCGUUCCAUUAGAUAGUAGGCGGGGUAACGCCCACCUAGUCUUCGAUGGAUAGGGGUUCUGAGAGGAAGGUCCCCCACAUUGGAACUGAGACACGGUCCAA